rnacentral:snRNA from 1 species
CAGCAUAUAUACUAAAAUUGGAAUGAUACAGAGAAGAUUAGCAUGAUCCCUGUGCAAGGAUGAAAUACAAAUUCAUGAAGCAUUCCAUAUUUUU